CCGCAGGCCACCUGGAACUGGAAACCAUCCUGCCUCAGCCUCCCAAGGCUGGGGUCAUAGUCAGGUGCUGCUGGGCCCUGCUACUCUGGGCUCUUACCUCUGAAGGGGGUGUGACUGCAUGAGCCCUGGGGAGAGAGGCUCUGCAGUGCUCCUGGCCGUGGCUUCCUCCAUCCAUCCAUUCCUCCAGCGGGGACCUCUGGUCCCUGACCUGGCACUAGGGACACACCCUGAAGAAGGCAGGCAAGGUCUGGGUGUACAGGGAUGGAGAAGGAAGACAGAACACUGCUAGGCAGACACGAAGAGGCUUUUCAACAGCCACACUGCGGCCCAAGAUCCCUUCAUCCCUACCCAGCAAGAGGCUCUGGGAGCUGAAGCCAGAUGGACCCAAGAGGCUGUAGUGACACUAGCACUGUCCAUGCCCCUGCUGGGGGCACCUGGGAGCCAAGAGCACUGCCCAUGGCAGUAUAAGAGCACGGGCGGCUCACAUCAGCAGCCCCAGAGUCAGCCCUCACCACGUCCUCCACUUGUCUUGGCAGCUGGGCACCUUCUGAGCACGGGUGCCCUGGAUGCUUGCCUUGAAUCGCUGGGAACAGGAGCAGCUCACUCACCUGCCUUCCAGGUGUGGGGCUUGCAGGGGGGAAAGGGGGACACAGAACUGUUUCCAGG
rnacentral:lncRNA from 1 species